AUUGAACGCUGGCGGAAUGCUUUACACAUGCAAGUCGAACGGUAGAGGGGGCAACCCCUUGAGAGUGGCGAACGGGUGAGUAAUAUAUCGGAACGUGCCCAGUCGUGGGGAUAACGUAGCGAAAGUUACGCUAAUACCGCAUACGAUCUAAGGAUGAAAGCGGGGGACUCGCAAGAGCCUCGCGCGAUUGGAGCGGCCGAUAUCAGAUUAGGUAGUUGGUGAGGUAAAGGCUCACCAAGCCGACGAUCUGUAGCUGGUCUGAGAGGACGACCAGCCACACUGGGACUGAGACACGGCCCAGACUCCUACGGGAGGCAGCAGUGGGGAAUUUUGGGACAAUGGGCGCAAGCCUGAUCCAGCAAUGCCGCGUGCAGGAUGAAGGCC
rnacentral:rRNA from 1 species